GAUGAACGCUGGCGGCGUGCCUAAUACAUGCAAGUCGAGCGAACGGACGAGAAGCUUGCUUCUCUGAUGUUAGCGGCGGACGGGUGAGUAACACGUGGAUAACCUACCUAUAAGACUGGGAUAACUUCGGGAAACCGGAACUAAGACCGAAUAAUCUUUUGAACCGCAUGGUUCAACAGUGAAAGACGGUCUUGCUGUCACUUAUAGGUGGAUCCGUGCUGGAUUAGCUAGUUGGUAAGGUAACGGCUUACCAAGGCAACGAUGCAUAGCCGACCUGAGAGGGUGAGCGGCCACACUGGAACUGGGACACGGUCCAGACUCCUACGGGAGGCAGCAGUAGGGAAUGUUCCGCAAUGGGCGAAAGCCUGACGGAGCAACGCCGCGUGAGUGAUGAAGGUCUUCGGAUCGUAAAACUCUGUUAUUAGGGAAGAACAUAUGUGUAAGUAACUGUGCACAUCUUGACGGUACCUAAUCAGAAAGCCACGGCUAACUACGUG
rnacentral:rRNA from 1 species